rnacentral:piRNA from 1 species
UCCAAAGAAAUAAUUAAGGCUUUCACGCGC